UGAGCAAUCUGCCCUUCUCUUCGGAAUAAGCGUUGGAAACGACGUCUAAUGCCGAAUACGACCUCCUUUCGCAUGAUCGGAGGUGGAAAGCUCCGGCGGAGAAGGAUGAGCUCGCGGCCUAUCAGCUAGUUGGUGUGGGUAACGGCCCACCAAGGCGACGACGGGUAGCCGGCCUGAGAGGGUGACCGGCCACACUGGGACUGAGACACGGCCCAGACUCCGUACGGGAGCAGC
rnacentral:rRNA from 1 species